UCUUAGCUGUAAAUAAAUAUCAAGUUUACCAGAGUACUAUGAAUAUUAAGAUUUAAAACUCAAAGAACUUGGCGGUGUUUUAGACUACUUAGGGGAACCUGUCUCGUAAUCGACAAUCCGCGUUAUACCUUACCUUUUAUUGAGAUCAGUUUGUACACCGUUGUCAUCAGGUAACUUUUUAGAAAAAUUAAGUUAGCAAGAAAAUUUCUAAUAAAUUUAAAUGUCAAAUCAAGGUGCAGCUAAUGAAAAGGAGAGGAUGGGUUACAAUUAAUAUUUAUAAGACGGAUCAGACAAUGUAAUUUGUUCGUGAAGGAGGACUUAAAAGUAAUUCUAUAUAUAAAAAUAGUUUGAAUAGAGCUCUGAAAUGUGC
rnacentral:rRNA from 1 species